GAUGAACGCUGGCGGCGUGCCUAAUACAUGCAAGUCGAGCGAACAGAUAAGGAGCUUGCUCCUUUGACGUUAGCGGCGGACGGGUGAGUAACACGUGGGUAACUUACCUAUAAGACUGGAAUAACUCCGGGAAACCGGGGCUAAUGCCGGAUAACAUGUUGAACCGCAUGGUUCUACAGUGAAAGGCGGCUUUGCUGUCACUUAUAGAUGGACCCGCGCCGUAUUAGCUAGUUGGUGAGGUAACGGCUCACCAAGGCAACGAUACGUAGCCGACCUGAGAGGGUGAUCGGCCACACUGGAACUGAGACAGGUUCCAGACUCCUACGGGAGGCAGCAGUAGGGAAUCUUCCGCAAUGGGCGAAAGCCUGACGGAGCAACGCCGCGUGAGUGAUGAAGGUCUUCGGAUCGUAAAACUCUGUUAUUAGGGAAGAACAAAUGCGUAAGUAACUGUGCGCGUCUUGACGGUACCUAAUCAGAAAGCCACGGCUAACUACGUG
rnacentral:rRNA from 1 species